GUGUGAGUGUGUCUCUGAUAGAGAGCAAGGGAGAGUGAGAGAUUGGAAAAGCUUAUUACCAUUUUCACAGAUCUGACAUUCUCGUGCGGCCUUAAAUGUGAGUGCGAAAUUAAAUGACAACAUAUUUGACACUGAUUCUUGUCACACAGUGUGCUCAGUGUGCUCAGCGUGCUCCAAAUUUAUCAUCUCUGUCUAAAUGCCAAAGCCCCCCAUCUGCAUGGCCACGCCUCCAUGCAGUCACGCCCCGCACUGCCGCGGCGCAAAUUGCUGCCAGUUGGCUCAUGUAAUUUGUUAACAUGCGAGC